GUUCAAAUAAGGGCUCUUCUAUCCCUCUCCAACAAAAAGAGCCUGAUUGGCGAAGGCCUGCAAUUUAGGCUGCUCAAGGGAGUCUGUGAAUUUUACCUGAAGUAAUCAGAGGGGUCUGUGAUGGGCCGUUCCUACAGGAGCCGUGUGACUCCAGAGGAACAGGUGGGGGCAGUUUGCUCAGGGCCAGCCCAGCCCUCCGUGCAGAGCAGCACUGACCUGCGUGGGGACAUUGCUCUACCCCAGGGAGAGACGAUUUCCUCUUUUGGGGGAAAAAACUGCUCAACCUGAAAACCAAACCUCCCAAAUAUUUGCUGUGUUUCACGUCCCAGCGGACUUUCAUGCCACCCAGAGCCUGCUGUCUUCUGCCGUGGGAUGGCAACUGAGAUACAAGAGCGAAACCCAAAGAAGAAAUGAAAAAGGAUGAUGAGCAUCAAGCCCCAGAUCAAGCACCUCCUUGAGCAAUUUGAGUGACUCCAGGGAACCUGGUCCAGCUUUGUACAAAUGCAAAUGAGGAAAGGCUUCAGCUAACUGUUAAAGCUUCCAGAGGACGUUGAGAGAUAUUAGUCCAGUGAAGAUUGGUAUGAUUUCCCAGAAAUAACCAGACAAGAAACUACUGGAGCCACAUGUUACUGUAAGACAGAUAGGGUUCUUAUUAGGGGCAUCUCUGCAAAGAGUACAUCAGCAUCCUGACCAAGCAAAGAGUUUGGUUGACUUGAGGUUGGCCGGUGUCAGCCGGAACAAAUUUUUCCUGCCGUUAACCUGCUUUUAAAGGUAUCUUCCCUGUCAAAAACUCAGAAUACCAUUGACAUCUAGUGGUGAAAUCCUGUGCCCAGAGAGUCAGUUUAUUGCAUCAAAACUGCUGGCCUGACCUUGAGGGACUUCAGGACAUAAUGCAGCAGUGAGAGGUUCCUCUGUCAUCUGUGUGGUCCACUGACCCAUCUCAUUGGAUUUGUUGACUCACAUUCCCGUUUAAGUGGACUGACAGGAAUAUCUGUUCCGCUUUUUUUGUGCUUGUUCUACCCUGGAUUUAACUUUCAGGCUUUAUGAUGGGAGUGCACAUUCACGUAGGACAGAUGCUAAUGGGAAUAAAGACUGCUGCCUUCUCAUCUGUCAGUAGUCCCUGGAGUCACUAUCUCAUCCAGAGCUGUUGGCUGUACUGAGAGCAUUUGGUCUGGGGCAGCUUCUCCAAACAUGCUGCAUAGUUGUCCGAGUGUGUUUGACAAGAGCAAACCUGCUGGGUUAAUGGCGUGAGGCUGAAUUCACUGUUUAGCCAAAGGAUGUGUUUUGUGAGCCCAAGGACUGGGUUUUCUUCUGAAGAUGCUGCUGUACAAGUGCUCCUGGCAGGCUGGUGAUAGUGUGUGGCUCUAUUCUCCGUAUCAGUGGUACCCCCAGGAGCACAGCUGCAGCCUGCCAGCUGCAGCUGCCACAUGGUGUCACAGGGAAGCUGCAAAUAGAUAAGACAGGAGCAUUUUGUAGUCAUAUACAAGGCAAGCUUCCUCUGCAGUGUAAACCUGAUAAUUCCGCUACACACGCAGCAUGGGUAUUUGUGCUUUACCCUACCCUUGGUGCAGCUAACGAGUGCAGCUCACUGGGGGCUUCCCCAGACUUGCUGUGAUAUUGCAGCUAUGGUGACAGCAACAGCCUGGGGUCCAUAACAGGGACUGCUGACACUCGCUCUUUUGUGGACUGGGGAAGAAGAGUGCUCCUGGACAGCAGCAAAAACUGCUGUCAAUAGGACAUAUUCAUGAGUGCCACUCAGAGGGCUUUGAAGGCAAAUAGAAAACGCUCACCAGUUUAAGGCACCAGGAGGCAGAGAGGAGUUGCCUCUUUUAAGGAGAAGAAACUUCAGGAAGAGAGAGGCAGAGAGACAUGGCCAAGGUCACAUGGCACAGGAGCACCAUCCGGAUCGAGCCUCACCCAUCCUUGGGCGCUUCCAAACCAUUGGUGCUUCACCUGUGGCCGCUCACUAAACCAGUAAAAGAGUCAGUGAAGACAAAAGAGGUGAGAGCCUGAUGGAGACAAUUGGAAGCUGAAGGGUGGCAGGGCACAGCUCCUCCUGGAUUGCUGCCCACAGCCUGCCUCCAGAGAAUUGUCCAGUUUUCUGCUUGGUGGAGCAGCCUUGGUGUGCUUUGCACAGGCUCCCUAUUCUAUGGACUUUGAGGCAUUUACUACUUUGUUUUCAGAAAAUCAGUGUGACUUGGAAAGUCUUGCUCUUCUUUAGCAGGGUGCUUGUCCCAGAUGGUGAACUUUCUACAGCCGCUCCUCCUCUGCUGCCUUGUCUGUUCCCUGCGCUGGCUGCUGGCUGGAUAAGCCUGCUCUGGGAAAUGAGGUGUUUUAUGGGUAGGGAAGGUGACUUUCAUGGAGAUAGAUGAUGCAGUCCACAAUUGCAAAUGGAGGAGGCAUAUUGGAAGGUGGAGAACGAUGCUUUCUUAGGAGACUUUCUUAGGCUCCUUGGAGCAACCUGCUCCAGUAGACACAGCACCUCCUCUUCCUGGGGGCUGUUCCCACUGUGGGGUCUCCUCACUGCCCAAAGGUAGGCACAUUUCCAGUGUGAUCCUUUGUAUCUUCCUCAAUGGCUUGCCACUGAGAGUGGUUUACUCCCCGGGUCUCUUAUUUUGCCAAAAUACCAACCAGAUCUUAAUAGAUUGGGCUUUAGUAGCGUUUAGCUCAUUGGGUUUAGGUUUUCUUCUAUAAAUCACUUGAUUGAAAGAAGGGGAGCUACUUUUUAUUCCUAGUUUGUAGAAUCUCAGGCUGAAUGCCAACAAAUGCAUACUAUGGCCAAAAAAUCGGUAACUUGACCCUAGAAAAUUGUGUCCUGUCUUGUUCACAGGGCUGCACCAUCAGUUGAUUAACAGAUUAGGGAACUAUGCCACUAAAUUUUGCUUUUGAGCUGUGUUCUUUAUACCAGCAGUCACUUCUGGAGUCAGAGAGAGUACUUGUGAGAGAAAGAACUUACAAGUGAUACAACUUAUGAGGGGAAGGAACUGUUUUUAACCUAGUUUCUAGAGAAAAAAUGACUGGGUUUUUUUGCCCUUUCUUAUCCCUUAUAGAUUUCUAGAUAUUUGAGAUGUACUUAACCAAAUCUGGAAGAGUCAAGAAAGGCUCAGAAAUAAAUAUAUGUCUGUGAGGGAACUCAAAGACAGCUGGAAAAGAUGAGGGGAGGUAAAACAGGAGGCUGCAGCACUGCUCCUCAUCCCUGUAGUGCUCUGUGGCCAGCAAGAAGCCAACUUUUCCCUGACUCAUGUCAGUUCUCGUCCAGUGGAAAUUUUGCUGGUCACAGGAAUCAGUGUGUGGGCACGUUUGAGCAAGCCACCAUUGGUGAACCUUGCUUUUCACCCUGGAGGUUUAGUGUCUGAACAUGCUAGAAGGCACCGAUCCAGGGCCAUAAUCUAGUUCCUGAUUUCACCACUCUAGGCAAGUCUUCUGAUGUUCUUUUGGUUCACAUCGUAGUUUUUUCCUCCUGCCUUUUUUUUCCCCCCAGUCCCGCCUUUUUGUACACUCUGCAAAGAGGGUGAAGUGUCUCAGGCAGGAGAGUGACCAUUUGUGAGCUCUGUACGUGACAAUAACAUCCUAAUGUUCCCGCUAUCCCAUUCCUAACCUAUUGCUACCAGUAAAACAGCAGUGUAUAUAUAUAUAUUUAAUAUUUAAUGGGGAGCAGGGGUAAUUUUUGCUUUCUUCUGCCAUGUUUUUUUGAGUCCUCAGCCUCAGUAUGGAAAAGAGAGCAGUGCAGGGCAACAAAAACUGACUUUCAGACCUAUUUCUAUCCUAAAUAUUUUAUGGUGGGAAGACUAAUGUUUGACUGCCUACAGCAUCUUUUCUGGAGCUCACUUAAGGAGUGUAAGUAAAGCGCUUUAGGAAGAAAGGAAACAUGGUGCUCCUAAACGUUUUUUGGCCAGCCAAGAUAAUUUGAAUAUGCCAUAAUGGCACCAACCUGAGGCAGAACUGCAGUUGCACAAAGCAGAUAAUAGUAGAAGCGUACUUUAUAACGAAGAUAUAUUGGCUUGUCUUUUAAUCUACAAAGAGACGUUUCUAGCUGGAGCAAGCUGGGAAGGCAUCAGAUCAAGUGUCCUGUCUUGUUUUCAUAUAUUUAACAUACCAGUGAGCUUAAGUAAUAUAAACUAAAGUUAGUGUAGUGGUUGUCUCAAGGUUUUAAAUUCGUUUGUUGUUCUUUAUUAUAUUUGUUUGUUUGUUUGUUUGCUUGGGUGUCUUGUUUUGGGGAGGUUAGGGGAUUUAUUUUGUAUAAAAAGGAACAAAAAGGCAGGAAAUAUCGAAUCUCAGCUCAGCGCUGGUGAGUGGAAGAGGAGUCUCACAAUGCCAUCUAGGGGCUCCUUUGCUUGAGGACGGACUGCUUAUGCUGGAGUCCCACUAGCUGGGAGCUGGCAACACAUUUUAACUUCUCUUACCUGGGCAAGAGCAGCUCCAAACACGGAUGAUAUCUGUUCAGCCCCUCUCAUAUGGGAGGGACUCUUUCAGAAUUACAGAGAUAUGUUUUAGGCACUUAUGCCCAAUCUGUGGGAGAUAACAGGUAAGUCCUACAUUUAAAAACCACGUAGAUCAGUAUUCACUAUUUCAUUAAUCUGGCUGCAGACAAUGAAAGAUUAAUUUUAGUUCUGGCAGGGAAUGGGAUGAGAGUUUUCUUUUUCUUCACUCAGUAGCAAAGUCUUGAGUGUCCCAUUUCUCUCCAGUAAAGGUGGUCAUGACCUCAUUCUGCUCCUGUUUCUUUGGCAUGGCUUCUCAUUUGUUUCGCUGAAAGCUUGAAAAAUCAUUUGUGGCUGAGGUGACUGUCUGUGGAGAAUUUGAUUUGGGAAAAUAGCAUCAUCAAAGCAGGUCAAUUGAAGCAAAAGUGCAAAAAGCCAAUUGGAGGAAAAGAAUCAAAUACAGCAGUACUAGUAGCAGGGAUGAUGCAGGUUGUGGUGGUUAAGCUGCAAGUGUGCGACAUCACAGUAAGACACGGGCAUUUGGCAUCCUGGAUCAUUCCUCAGCAACCAGAGCCGAAGCUAUUUCAGGCUAGCUUUAUUUUUAUACAUCAGUGAACUUCCUCUGCGUUAAUUCUGUGAGUAAGAUGUCAGGCAGCCUUCAGAAAAGCAGGGUAUUUGGGGAUAUUUGUGAUAACCGGUGUGACACUGCUGAGUAGGUGGAACCAGCAGGUUCCUGAUGGCUGCCAGGCACCUUCCUGGGACCCCGUUUGGUCCUGGGAGCCUCUGUGUUCCUGGGGUCUGUGUCACAAUCAAAGCAUUACCGAGCACAGGCAUGUUGGAUGUGGCAAAAGAGUGCAGGUAACACUCUAUAACCACUGUCACACCCUCUCCAACCUGCUUUUUAUUGACACUUGGUUAAAAUGGAGAUUUUCUUUUAUUACCAGUGAUUUAAGGUUAGAUUCUGUGAGAUUGCAUGCACACAUACUUGAUUAAUUCUCCUUAAAAAGAAUGAAGUGGAGGACUAGUGUGUGAUAUUUGCCUAUGUGCAUAGUUAAAUUCUCUGUCAGGAAAUGUUUAACCUUGAGCUUAAUGUGAGAUAGAUUGUAGCUGAAAGAGAAUGAAAAAGAUUAACGUUCUGCGGUGACUCGCAGCAUCCUGGACACUAGAGAGAAAUUCGUCAAAUGGAACAGCACAACAAUGACACCUUCUGUAAAACACAAGAAAUGUCACGUCUUACUGCUCCGGCUUCUUCCCUUGGAAAUUCCUAACCUAUACCUGGCAGAGGGCUGAAACGGGCAUCUCUGCAGAGAAGUCCUUUCCCUACCAGGCUGUACCCAUGCAUCCCAGGCUGUCAUGUCUCAGGCUGUGAAAACCAUUUUGGCAAUCCCAUUCCACCUUUGUCUGGGGUUUUUCUCCCCUGCCCAAAAGCAUGCUUGCCCAAAUGGGUGAGAAGUUGAAUUCCUCACCUGAAUGGCUUCAAGAUCACGGCAGCAUGAAUGGGGGGGCCCAGCCCAAGGUUAGAGGUACUUCUAAGCCACAUAUUAAAAAUAUUCCACCGCAUCGUAUUUCCUAAAUGAAUUUGUUAAAAGGAGAGAGCACAAGAGGGAGCCAGACUCUGCAUCCUGCGAAAGGCUCUUGGCUGUGUGUCGGGAGGCAGUAAGGGGAGCUCAGAGCUUUGUCCCUGUGCUCCAAACUCCGUCUGUAUUUGUUCAGUGGCUCUUGUACUAGGUCCUGUGGACACCAGGUCAAACUUCCAGGACUCCCCAGCCCCAGGUGAUGUCCGAGGACUUGGACCACAAAGUCAAAUCUCACGUCUUUCCCUCCGACAUCAAAGGAAGUAGAAGAGCAUCCCGUUCAAGCCAGGCAGGAUGUGAAGAGGUGUAAGAGACGGUUUUGGUCUCCUUUCCAGCGAGGAUGGGACACAACACAAACCUGCUGUUUCACCCCUCCAGCCACUACAUUCUCAGGGGGCAGGUGCUGGGUGAAGAGCACUGGCACUGCUGCAGCAGGGCACAGCUGCUGUGGGGUGUGUGGGGGCAAUGGCACUCCCUUUUCAGCAGGGUGCCUGGGAGCAGCUGCUGUGGGGUGUGGGAGGCAGGAGCUUCCUGACCCAUGUGUGGUCAGCACCCACCCUGCUCAUGAGAUGCCCUCCCCAGUGUCUGCAGAUGGCAGCCGGUGCUGAAUUUGGAAGCCAGCCCUAACUUUAAAGCAUCUGUGACUUUUACUGGCUCUGAAAAUCACUCUUGGAGGGAGUUGGGAUCUCCAUUUCUGCCCCCCAAACCUCAGGCCAGGGUCUUCACCACAGAUCAGCCCUUCAGUUGCCACAUACAUCUUGGAAUAAUCCUCUAUGCUUCCUGUAAAGGCAUCAUGCAAAGUCUUUACCUACCAUCUUGCUGGGUUACUGAAAACAGCAUGAAGCUCUGCUUAAGCUCUGUUUGAGAGUGGAAACUCAUCCAGAUUCCUCCACAUUUGGUGCAAUAAUUAUCAGAUAUCAUGAGGUUAACUCAAGGUUUCAGUGUUGGAGCAGUUACCUACAGGAUGUUACAGAGUGAACACACACCAGGAUACGACACAGGGAACGUGGGCUGUAUAAUUCAGUGUACACAACCCAUACCAUGCAGCUCUUCCAGCACACAGGCAUCAGGGUGUCAAGGGCAGUUCUGCUCUGUUAUCACCAUUUCUUCCAUCUGAAACUUGUCAAAAGGUUUAGAUUAGAGUUCCUAAAACCUCUUGCAAGUCAGUAAGUGCUUCCUUAAUUUUAAUAGAGCAAAACUAAGAACUUGGGCUCUGCUCCAUAAAAUAUAUCCUUGGGAAAUUUUUUUUCCUGUGUGAUUUGACUGACUACAGCAGUGCUAGUUCAGAUCUAUUUUUGUGUUUAUU